GCUAGGCGUCGUGGUGUGCGCCUUUAAUCUAGCUACUUGGAGGUCAGGGUGCGGGAUUCCGUGGAACCGGGAGAUCUGGCAUAUAGGUGCUCAUGUUGAUCGGGCGUCCACGCUAAGCACGGCGCCGAUAUGGAUGACUUGUCGGAGGAUGAGCUGUCCAGGUCGUCUAAGGAGAGGCGGACAGGCCCAGGGAGGAAAUCCAGCAGUCAAAAUUCCCCGCGUGGUGUGGUAGCGGGAUAGGGCCUGUGAAUAGUGUCCAUGUGACAGCCCGCUUGGCGCGUGAAGACCGCCUCUUUU
rfam:Schistosoma rodhaini strain Burundi genome assembly, scaffold: SROB_scaffold0000574